rnacentral:rRNA from 1 species
AGCGAACGCUGGCGGCAGGCCUAACACAUGCAAGUCGAACGAUCCUUCGGGAUAGUGGCGGACGGGUGAGUAACACGUGGGAACGUGCCCUUUGGUUCGGAACAACUCAGGGAAACUUGAGCUAAUACCGGAUGUGCCCUUCGGGGGAAAGAUUUAUCGCCAUUGGAGCGGCCCGCGUCUGAUUAGCUAGUUGGUGAGGUAACGGCUCACCAAGGCGACGAUCAGUAGCUGGUCUGAGAGGAUGAUCAGCCACACUGGGACUGAGACACGGCCCAGACUCCUACGGGAGGCAGCAGUGGGGAAUCUUGCGCAAUGGGCGAAAGCCUGACGCAGCCAUGCCGCGUGAAUGAUGAAGGUCUUAGGAUUGUAAAAUUCUUUCACCGGGGACGAUAAUGACGGUACCCGGAGAAGAAGCCCCGGCUAACUUCGUGCCAGCAGCCGCGGUAAGAC